rnacentral:rRNA from 1 species
GAUGAACGCUGGCGGCGUGCCUAAUACAUGCAAGUCGAGCGAACAGACGAGGACCUUGCUCCUCUGACGUUAGCGGCGGACGGGUGAGUAACACGUGGAUAACCUACCUAUAAGACUGGGAUAACUUCGGGAAACCGGAGCUAAUACCGGAUAAUAUAUUGAACCGCAUGGUUCAAUAGUGAAAGACGGUUUUGCUGUCACUUAUAGAUGGAUCCGCGCCGCAUUAGCUAGUUGGUAAGGUAACGGCUUACCAAGGCAACGAUGCGUAGCCGACCUGAGAGGGUGAUCGGCCACACUGGAACUGAGACACGGUCCAGACUCCUACGGGAGGCAGCAGUAGGGAAUCUUCCGCAAUGGGCGAAAGCCUGACGGAGCAACGCCGCGUGAGUGAUGAAGGUCUUCGGAUCGUAAAACUCUGUUAUUAGGGAAGAACAAAUGUGUAAGCAACUAUGCACGUCUUGACGGUACCUAAUCAGAAAGCCACGGCUAACUACGUG